ACCAGACUCCUACGGGAGGCAGCAGUGGGGAAUAUUGCACAAUGGGGGGAACCUUGAUGCAGCAACGCCGCGUGGGUGAAGAAGUACUCCGGUAUGUAAAGCCCUGUCAGCAGGGAAGAAAAUGACGGUACCUGACCAAGAAGCCCCGGCUAACUACGUGCCAGCAGCCGCGGUAAUACGUAGGAUCCGAGCAUUAUCCGGAGUGACUGGGUGUAAAGAGUUGCGUAGGUGGCAUAAUAAGUAGCUAGUGAAAUCUGGUGGCUCAACCAUUCAGACUAUUAGCUAAACUGUUAAGCUCGAGACCGUUAGGGGUAACUGGAAUUUCUAGUGUAGGAGUGAAAUCCGUAGAUAUUAGAAGGAACACCAAUAGCGUAGGCAGGUUACUGGGACGGUUCUGACACUAAGGCACGAAAGCGUAGGGAGCAAACGGGAUUAGAUACCCUGGUA
rnacentral:rRNA from 1 species